UACAGAGGGGGCAAGCGUUGUUCGGAAUUACUGGGCGUAAAGGGCGCGUAGGCGGCCUGUUAAGUCGAACGUGAAAUCCCCGGGCUCAACCCGGGAACUGCGUCCGAUACUGGAUGGCUUGAAUCCGGGAGAGGGAUGCGGAAUUCCAGGUGUAGCGGUGAAAUGCGUAGAUAUCUGGAGGAACACCGGUGGCGAAGGCGGCAUCCUGGACCGGCAUUGACGCUGAGGAGCGAAAGCCAGGGGAGCAAACGGG
rnacentral:rRNA from 1 species